rnacentral:rRNA from 1 species
UACGUAGGGGGCAAGCGUUGUCCGGAUUUAUUGGGCGUAAAGAGCGUGUAGGCGGCUAGGUAGGUCCGUUGUGAAAACUCGAGGCUCAACCUCGAGACGCCGAUGGAAACCAUCUAGCUAGAGUCCGGAAGAGGAGAGUGGAAUUCCUAGUGUAGCGGUGAAAUGCGUAGAGAUUAGGAAGAACACCAGUGGCGAAGGCGACUCUCUGGACUGUAACUGACGCUGAGGCUCGAAAGCGUGGGGAGCAAACAGG